GCGGAAGGAUCAUUAACGAGUUAGGGUCUUCUAGGCCCGACCUCCCAACCUUUUGUUUACUGAACCAUUGUUGCUUCGGUGGGUCCGUCUUACGACCGCCGGGGGAUCGCCGCGAGGCGCCCCCCUGGCCAGCGCCCACCAAUAGCCCAACCUUCAAACCCUUUUAUGAAUCGUGUUUCAUGUCUAAAUUUAUGAUUAAACAAUCAAAACAAAACUUUCAACAACGGAUCUCUUGGUUCUGGCAUCGAUGAAGAACGCAGCGAAAUGCGAUAAGUAAUGCGAAUUGCAGAAUUCCAGUGAGUCAUCGAAUCUUUGAACGCACAUUGCGCCCUUUGGUAUUCCGAAGGGCAUGCCUGUUCGAGCGUCAUUAUCACCCCUCAAGCCCCGUGCUUGGUGUUGGACGGCCGGUCGAGGUUCGCCCCGACCCCUCCUAAAGACAAUGACGGCGGCCUGUGGUUCCCCCGGUACACUGAGCUUUUCGCAGAGCACGUACCGGACGAGGGUGCCCGGGUCACGGUCCCCUCCUCCCCCGUGAGGAAAUAUUUUUCAAGGUUGACCUCGGAUCAGGUAGGAAUACGCGCUGAACUUAA
rnacentral:rRNA from 1 species